GCCGGCGUGGGGGCGCACGCCUGUCAUCCCAGCGUCUUGGGAGGCUGAGGCAGGAGGAUCGCGAGUUCAAAGCCAGCCUAAGUAAUUUAGUGAGGCCCUGAGCAAUUUAAUGAGACCCUGUCUGUA
rnacentral:sRNA from 1 species